AUACGUAGGGAGCGAGCGUUGUCCGGAAUUACUGGGUGAAAAGGGAGCGUAGGCGGGAGCGCAAGUCAGAUGUGAAAUACAUGGGCUACACCCAUGGGCUGCAUUUGAAACUGCAUUUCUUGAGUGAAGUAGAGGUAAGCGGAAUUCCUGGAGUAGCGGUGAAAUGCGUAGAUAUCAGGAGGAACACCGGUGGCGAAGGCGGCUUACUGGGCUUUACUGACGCUGAGGCUCGAAAGCGUGAGGAGCAAACAGGAUUAGAUACCCUGGUAGUCCACGCUGUAAACGAUGAUUACUAGGUGUGGGGCGACUGACCCCUUCCGUGCCGCAGUUAACACAAUAAGUAAUCCACCUGGGGAGUACGGCCGCAAGGUUGAAACUCAAAUGAAUUGGCGGGG
rnacentral:rRNA from 1 species